rnacentral:rRNA from 1 species
CCUACGGGUGGCAGCAGUGGGGAAUAUUGCACAAUGGGCGCAAGCCUGAUGCAGCCAUGCCGCGUGUGUGAAGAAGGCCUUCGGGUUGUAAAGCACUUUCAGCGGGGAGGAAGGCGUUAAGGUUAAUAACCUUGGCGAUUGACGUUACCCGCAGAAGAAGCACCGGCUAACUCCGUGCCAGCAGCCGCGGUAAUACGGAGGGUGCAAGCGUUAAUCGGAAUUACUGGGCGUAAAGCGCACGCAGGCGGUCUGUCAAGUCGGAUGUGAAAUCCCCGGGCUCAACCUGGGAACUGCAUUCGAAACUGGCAGGCUAGAGUCUUGUAGAGGGGGGUAGAAUUCCAGGUGUAGCGGCGAAAUGCGUAGAGAUCUGGAGGAAUACCGGUGGCGAAGGCGGCCCCCUGGACAAAGGCUGACGCUCAGGUGCGAAAGCGUGGGGAGCAAACAGGAUUAGAUACCCCUGUAGUC